GUGGCAGCCGCCGCGGUAAUACGGAGGGUGCGAGCGUUAAUCGGAAUUACUGGGCGUAAAGGGCGCGUAGGCGGUCGCGCAAGUCGGGUGUGAAAGCCCCGGGCUCAACCUGGGAAUUGCAUUCGAUACUGCGUAACUAGAGUCUGGUAGAGGGAAGCGGAAUUCCGCAUGUAGCGGUGAAAUGCGUAGAUAUGCGGAGGAACACCAGUGGCGAAGGCGGCUUCCUGGACCAAGACUGACGCUGAGGCGCGAAAGCGUGGGGAGCAAACAGGAUUAGAUACCCUGGUAGUCCACGCCCUAAACGAUGAGGACUAGACGUUGGGGGGAUAAAACCCUUUAGUGUCGCAGCUAACGCGUGAAGUCCUCCGCCUGGGGAGUACGGCCGCAAGGUUGAAACUCAAAUGAAUUGGCGG
rnacentral:rRNA from 1 species